ACUAGCCUUGGGGAGGUCAGGAUCCACUGAGGAGGAACAAAGGAGCAGAAGGCUAGAGCCUUUAAAGGAAGCCCAGCAACUGCCUUCAGUUCCAAGACUAGUUUCUAGAAUCACUAGAGUCUCCAUUAUUCAUGGGCAGCCCUACCUCCUCAACCCUUGGGACUGCUUUCUCUUGGAUGCUUCUGGAAACCAGUAAGUAUGGUAGCCCUGGUGUUCUAGGGACCAAAGCUACUAAAAAUUCAAACAGAAAAACUGCUUGUUGUAGGAUGAAGAAACCCAGUUUACAUGGUCUCCAGCAGCCUCCUGUCUUUCAGGACUGUCUCCUCUCUAUUCCCCCAACGCCCUUAACGUUGUGUGGCUUCCUUACAGGUUCUUUCUUUGGACGGAAAGAGGAAUUUAGGUGUCUGGUUGAAUGACUUUGUACUCACAGAAAUCAAAAUUAACAAGGGGCUGGGGCAGAAUCACCAGAUGACACUAUCAUUACAUCACUUGAUUUUGCUAUUCAGACUGGAUAGCAGGGGGCUGGAGAGAUGCCUCAGAAGAUAAGAACACUGGUUGUUUUACCAAAGGGCCUGGGUUCAAUUCCCUGCACCCACACGGCAGAUCACAAUUGUACUCCAGUUCCAGGGGAUCCAAGGCUCUCGUCUGACUUCCAUGGGUACUACACAUAUAUGAUAUGCAAGCAAAACAUCCAUGCAAGUGUGCACAAAUACAUACACACACACACACACACACACAAACUUUUUUUUAAAUAAAAUAAAGGGUUAUUUAUUUAAAAAAAUAAAAAAGACUGGCUAGCAUCACAUAAAAAGCCAAAGAACCAGUUAUUAAAUG
rnacentral:lncRNA from 1 species